UGACGGAGGGUGCGAGCGUUGUCCGGAAUCAACUGGGCGUAAAGGGCGGCGUAGGUGGCGCGGGCAGUCAACGGUGAAAGUUCGGGGCUCAACCCUGAAUCGGCCGUCGAUACUCCCGUGCUUGAGCACUGUAGAGGCAGAUGGAAUUCCGGGUGUAGCGGUGGAAUGCGUAGAGAUCCGGAAGAACACCGGAGGCGAAGGCGGCUUGCUGGGCUUGGUCUGACGCUGAGGCGCGAAAGCGUGGGGAGCAAACAGG
rnacentral:rRNA from 1 species